rnacentral:rRNA from 2 species
AACGCUGGCGGCGUGCCUAAUACAUGCAAGUCGAACGAACUCUGGUAUUGAUUGGUGCUUGCAUCAUGAUUUACAUUUGAGUGAGUGGCGAACUGGUGAGUAACACGUGGGAAACCUGCCCAGAAGCGGGGGAUAACACCUGGAAACAGAUGCUAAUACCGCAUAACAACUUGGACCGCAUGGUCCGAGCUUGAAAGAUGGCUUCGGCUAUCACUUUUGGAUGGUCCCGCGGCGUAUUAGCUAGAUGGUGGGGUAACGGCUCACCAUGGCAAUGAUACGUAGCCGACCUGAGAGGGUAAUCGGCCACAUUGGGACUGAGACACGGCCCAAACUCCUACGGGAGGCAGCAGUAGGGAAUCUUCCACAAUGGACGAAAGUCUGAUGGAGCAACGCCGCGUGAGUGAAGAAGGGUUUCGGCUCGUAAAACUCUGUUGUUAAAGAAGAACAUAUCUGAGAGUAACUGUUCAGGUAUUGACGGUAUUUAACCAGAAAGCCACGGCUAACUACGUGCCAGCAGCCGCGGUAAUACGUAGGUGGCAAGCGUUGUCCGGAUUUAUUGGGCGUAAAGCGAGCGCAGGCGGUUUUUUAAGUCUGAUGUGAAAGCCUUCGGCUCAACCGAAGAAGUGCAUCGGAAACUGGGAAACUUGAGUGCAGAAGAGGACAGUGGAACUCCAUGUGUAGCGGUGAAAUGCGUAGAUAUAUGGAAGAACACCAGUGGCGAAGGCGGCUGUCUGGUCUGUAACUGACGCUGAGGCUCGAAAGUAUGGGUAGCAAACAGGAUUAGAUACCCUGGUAGUCCAUACCGUAAACGAUGAAUGCUAAGUGUUGGAGGGUUUCCGCCCUUCAGUGCUGCAGCUAACGCAUUAAGCAUUCCGCCUGGGGAGUACGGCCGCAAGGCUGAAACUCAAAGGAAUUGACGGGGGCCCGCACAAGCGGUGGAGCAUGUGGUUUAAUUCGAAGCUACGCGAAGAACCUUACCAGGUCUUGACAUACUAUGCAAAUCUAAGAGAUUAGACGUUCCCUUCGGGGACAUGGAUACAGGUGGUGCAUGGUUGUCGUCAGCUCGUGUCGUGAGAUGUUGGGUUAAGUCCCGCAACGAGCGCAACCCUUAUUAUCAGUUGCCAGCAUUAAGUUGGGCACUCUGGUGAGACUGCCGGUGACAAACCGGAGGAAGGUGGGGAUGACGUCAAAUCAUCAUGCCCCUUAUGACCUGGGCUACACACGUGCUACAAUGGAUGGUACAACGAGUUGCGAACUCGCGAGAGUAAGCUAAUCUCUUAAAGCCAUUCUCAGUUCGGAUUGUAGGCUGCAACUCGCCUACAUGAAGUCGGAAUCGCUAGUAAUCGCGGAUCAGCAUGCCGCGGUGAAUACGUUCCCGGGCCUUGUACACACCGCCCGUCACACCAUGAGAGUUUGUAACACCCAAAGUCGGUGGGGUAACCUUUUAGGAACCAGCCGCCUAAGGUGGGACAGAUG